UACGGGGGGGGCAAGCGUUGUUCGGAAUUACUGGGCGUAAAGGGCGCGUAGGCGGCCUUCUAAGUCGAACGUGAAAUCCCCGGGCUCAACCCGGGAACUGCGUCCGAUACUGGAAGGCUUGAAUCCGGGGAGAGGGAUGCGGAAUUCCAGGUGUAGCGGUGAAAUGCGUAGAUAUCUGAAGGAACAUCAGUGGCGAAAAGCGACUUCCUGGACCAAUACUGACGCUCAUGUGCGAAAGCGUGGGGAGCAAACAGG
rnacentral:rRNA from 1 species